rnacentral:lncRNA from 1 species
AAGCCGCCGCCCGCCGCCCCUAUUCUGCCUGCCGGAAAUCGCCACCGCCGGUGGACGAACUCCAAACACCACCAAAAUUUCACCCCCUACUCAUCUCAACCUCCUCUUUUCGAAUCCAACACUCAAAUUUCCUAAAUCUCUAUCCAUCCACACGAAUCCCAUUUUGGCCGAAACCCUAGCCCCUAUUUCUUUUGAAAUUGGUCAGCUUCUAGCCAUCCUCAUUCCAUAAUACACACACAUUUGGAUAGAUCUCUAGGAGAGCUAUUGAUUUUAUGUCAGUUUUGGUUCCAAACUCCGACCACUAUUUUCCGGCAAGCUUACUGGUGACCACCUGUCCGCGAAGGGUCUGUUUUAAGCCAUUUUUCCGACUCAGGCGAUUGUUUCUUUUUAGCACGACGCUAAAAUCCAAUGGGUCCAGCGUGUACUAAAAAGAAAUGCCCGUUUCGAGGUUGGACAGCCACUAUUCGUCGCCCCCGGCAUCCGUCUCGUUGCUCGAUUUGACAUCGAAUCCCUCUGUAUGGUAAAACAUCAAUUUCCUUUCCUUAUUUUUAUCUUUUCUGAUUUUUUGCUUUUGUUUUAGUAUUAGUUCUAAGGUUUAAUCUCCAUUAAUGUUUCUGUUAUUUAUGUGCAAUGAGUAUAAAUUUUUAAUUAUACUUUCACUUUAUAAAUGUGAAUUUUUGGUUCUUCGACCUAGCCGGUCGACUAUUUUGUGUGAAUUUGAUUAAGCUUGAACUUUCAGUUCUUCGACCUAGCCAGUCGACUAUUUUUGUUUGUCCGUUAGUUCUGAUCUUUGGUUCUUCGACUUAAUCGGUCGACUAUUUUGUAUAGAAUUGUUAAGUCUGAAUUUUCAGUUUUUUGACCUAGUCGGUCGAAUAGUUAAGUCUUUAUGUUAAUUUCAUGAAAAAACCAAAAGAUUAGUUCAAUUGUUUAUAUAGUUAGUUGUAUAUUUAGUUGUUAUUAAUUGUGAUAGUUUAGCGAUGUUCGUUUAAUUUCUGUUUCAAGCAAUAGUUUGUGAAAUUCAGUUGUUGUUCCAUGUUGGUUUACACAAAUCGAAUUCAUUCUAAUCUAGUUUGUCUGAAUACUUAGUUCGAUUGCAUUUUGAGUCUUGUUUCUACUUUGCUAGUUCAUAUUUGGUUGGAGUUUGAGUGUAUAAGCUGAAUUUCAGUCAUGAAUAGAUAAAAGCUGAAAACUUGAGUUUAAAGUACGUGUUUGUUGGGUAUUUUACUGUUUAAACAUGCUGAAAAUGCAAAUGCUCUGUUUUGUGUCAGAAUUUGGUGAAAAAAUGACUGUUUUGGCACAUAAAAGUCAGUCCUUUUGGACAGAUUUUUGGUGAAUCAAAAUCUGUCCAAAAGGACUUAUUUUUCCUACUUAAAGAGGCCAUUCUUUCACACUUGAGGAGUCGAACAUACUUAGCCAUCACCCUUUACACUCGAAGAAAACACAAAACUUUGAAGAAAGUCAGCAGCUGAACAUCAAAAAGUAAGCUGAAAAAAAACUGAAAGUUUGUGAGUUCUUUCUUCAUUUCCUAAGUCGGUGAGCGUUUGGUUUGAGUUUCUGGUUCGUAUCGGCUUUAAAAUAUCGCUGUUGUUUGGGCUGUUCUGUUGUUGUUCCUUCUUUGCUGUUGAAAGUUUGCUGUGUUCGUUGGUCGGCUUUUUCGAAGUUACAUCUUUGCUGUAGUUUGAUUUUCUGCCAUUCAGGUAACUUUUAAACCUAUUGUAGUGCAAAUUCUCAAUGUCGAAUGUGGAAGGUGCCAACCUGCCUCCAUUAUUUGAGCAUGCUUUUUGUGACUUAAUGAAGAAAUGAGUGUUUGAAUAAUGCAUGUAUGUUUCCGGUGUACAAAAUCUGGAAUAACUUAUUUAAUACUUUAACUUCUCUUUACAUUUUGGGUGAAAUAAUAUUUUGUUAGUCUGCUAGUUGUUUUAAAACAUAUCAUAUCA